rnacentral:lncRNA from 1 species
UUUAGCGUUCUUGUGCUUUCGUAUGUGUUUCUUUGUUUCGAUCGAUGCUCAGGUUCCAAUUCCACCAAAGCUAGAUGGGUUCUGGUACGAGAACCGACCGUCGGAGGCUGACUCGAUAUUCAUCGAGGCGUUUUUUGACCCAGUUUGCCCCGACAGCAGGGAUUCAUGGCCGGGUCUUAAACAAGCCCUCCACCACUAUGGCUCUCGCGUUACACUCCUUGUCCACACCUUCCCUUUACCGUAAGUUUGUACUUUCUAUUUCUGGAAAUAAAAUGAUUAGCUCAGUUUAAUUACAUAAAUGUUCGAUUCUUGAAUCUUGAUGGCGUUUUACUUUCUUGUUCAGUAUGCAAUUGAUGGGCAGUAAUUAUUUUGAUCUGUUUAUGUUAACUGUGUUUUGUAAUGGAGUAUUUCUUGGGAACCCUUUAAAUUUUAGAAAAUUUAACAAAUAUGUGAAUUAUUCUGCCAUACAUGUAUUUGUGUCAUCUAUUAUACAUAGUUAUACGAAGUAAUUUUAGGGGCGCAUUUUUGUGUACUUUGCAUAUUUUCUUAUUGCUUUUCAGAUUGUUAUCGCUUUUGAUAGUAUUGGGGCUUAAAUUGUAACAUUCUCGUGAUUAAAUUACCGUAAUUUCUUGGUUGCAUAAGAGUUUUGUUGAUAUUAAAUGUCCUUGCACACCAUUCAUGUAAAGAUUACAAUCACUGGAUGAGAUCAUUCAGAGAAUUGGAUUGUUUUUUUGUGAAUAAUGUAGAAGUAGUAGGUGAAGUUGUUAAGGAAUGGAAAAAAUGCACUUCUCCUCCAACUUGGCCUCUGUUCGGGGGUUUCAUUUUUUCAUUAAUAAUUUACUUUUCAAGAAAUGAGUGCUGAAUAAGGAGGUAGUACUUGUUGUCCUAAAAAUGUGUGGUUAAAAUUAAAUUUUGAUUUUGAAAAUUAACAUUUUAGAAAUAAAAAUGAAAUCCAAACAUAGGCUUAACCAAUAUUAUGCUCUUUUUCUUUGUUGAUGUAGCAAUUGAUGGAUAGAGACACGAGUUUCAAAAUGAUAUGCAUUGGGUAUACAUGUUCAGUUUCUUGGAGAUUGGCUGAUGUUUUUCUUUUGAAAAUUUCAGUUACCAUGACAAUGCUUUUGUUUCCUCCCGUGCAUUGCAUAUAGUCAACAAGUUAAAUUCUUCAGCCACCUACGAUUUAUUGGAGGCGUUUUUCCAGCACCAGGUGAGAUUGAUUUUGUAUUAGAAGUGUAUAGAUCUCUUGCUGAAAGGGCUAAACAGACCUUGCAUGAACUCUACCUCUCUACAAUGACAAGCUGAUGCAGUUCUUCACCUCUUCUAUGUGGUUUAGGCAUGGCUACUUCUUUGCUUUUUUCUGUGGCUACUUUGCUUUUUCUUGCUUUGGUUGGCUCUCUCUGGCAUCUGGAAUUUGAUCUAUUGUAAAUUAGUUUUUCAUGUUGAGUUCUAUUAAUUUGUGAUUUAAGAGUUCUAUUCUGUUCUCAUUUUUUAUGCAUCAAUGACUUUGUGCUUCCGUCAACCGUUCAAUGAAUAUGCCAUACUUUUCUGUUACAGUGCACUGUAAUUUUUUAAUUUAGUAUUUGUUUGGAAGAUUUUUUUAAAGUUAUGCUCUUCAAAAUUACUUUCAAUUAUACAUUCUAGAAACAUAUUAUUUUUCACUUGAAAAAAUCUCUCAUAAACAAAUGUUUUAUAAAUAAAUAGCAAUAAGAUUUAAACUCAAAACAUAAUAUUAAGGACAUGUUUGUUAGAUCUUCUGUUUAUGGUCAAACUAUUUUUUAAAAAAGUUACUUUAAAUAACUUUCUUUCGAUAGACUUUCUAGCAAGAAAAAAUGCAUUUAAAAAUUUAUUCAAAUAUAUUCAAAAGUAAUUUUCUUAAUUUUAAAUAUAACUUUUUGACUUUUAUUUAUUUAAGUUAACCCUCACUAACUUCAAUUAGGCAACAGUCGUUUAUAUUUAUGUAAUUACUAGUGCCUUCUCCUCCCGCCAAUUGGUCAACUGUCUGUCUUAACUUCCCAAGGGACUCAGAGCAUAAACUAUUCACCAAAUUCCAAUUUCAAUCAAAUAGCAAAGUUCUUUCAAUUGACAUCCUCCAAAAGAAAAAAAAAAUUAGAAAAACCAAAAUUCAGAUUUCGAACAUGGGUUUUAAGAACACUCUCAGAUUUUUAGCGUUCUUGUGCUUUCGUAUGUGUUUCUUUGUUUCGAUCGAUGCUCAGGUUCCAAUUCCACCAAAGCUAGAUGGGUUCUGGUACGAGAACCGACCGUCGGAGGCUGACUCGAUAUUCAUCGAGGCGUUUUUUGACCCAGUUUGCCCCGACAGCAGGGAUUCAUGGCCGGGUCUUAAACAAGCCCUCCACCACUAUGGCUCUCGCGUUACACUCCUUGUCCACACCUUCCCUUUACCGUAAGUUUGUACUUUUUAUUUCUGGAAAUAAAAUGAUUAGCUCAGUUUAUUUACAUAAAUGUUCGAUUCUUGAAUCUUGAUGGCGUUUUACUUUCUUGUUCAGUAUGCAAUUGAUGGGCAGUAAUUAUUUUGAUCUGUUUAUGUUAACUGUGUUUUGUAAUGGAGUAUUUCUUGGGAACCCUUUAAAUUUUAGAAAAUUUAACAAAUAUGUGAAUUAUUCUGCCAUACAUGUAUUUGUGUCAUCUAUUAUACAUAGUUAUACGAAGUAAUUUUAGGGGCGCAUUUUUGUGUACUUUGCAUAUUUUCUUAUUGCUUUUCAGAUUGUUAUCGCUUUUGAUAGUAUUGGGGCUUAAAUUGUAACAUUCUCGUGAUUAAAUUACCGUAAUUUCUUGGUUGCAUAAGAGUUUUGUUGAUAUUAAAUGUCCUUGCACACCAUUCAUGUAAAGAUUACAAUCACUGGAUGAGAUCAUUCAGAGAAUUGGAUUGUUUUUUUGUGAAUAAUGUAGAAGUAGUAGGUGAAGUUGUUAAGGAAUGGAAAAAAUGCACUUCUCCUCCAACUUGGCCUCUGUUCGGGGGUUUCAUUUUUUCAUUAAUAAUUUACUUUUCAAGAAAUGAGUGCUGAAUAAGGAGGUAGUACUUGUUGUCCUAAAAAUGUGUGGUUAAAAUUAAAUUUUGAUUUUGAAAAUUAACAUUUUAGAAAUAAAAAUGAAAUCCAAACAUAGGCUUAACCAAUAUUAUGCUCUUUUUCUUUGUUGAUGUAGCAAUUGAUGGAUAGAGACACGAGUUUCAAAAUGAUAUGCAUUGGGUAUACAUGUUCAGUUUCUUGGAGAUUGGCU